rnacentral:rRNA from 1 species
CGAAGGGGGCUAGCGUUGCUCGGAAUUACUGGGCGUAAAGGGCGCGUAGGCGGCGGCCCAAGUCAGGCGUGAAAUUCCUGGGCUCAACCUGGGGACUGCGCUUGAUACUGGGUUGCUUGAGGAUGGAAGAGGCUCGUGGAAUUCCCAGUGUAGAGGUGAAAUUCGUAGAUAUUGGGAAGAACACCGGUGGCGAAGGCGGCGAGCUGGUCCAUUACUGACGCUGAGGCGCGACAGCGUGGGGAGCAA